rnacentral:rRNA from 1 species
AAAUAGAUACCCAGGUAGUCCACGCCGUAAACGAUGAGUGCUAAGUGUUAGAGGGUUUCCGCCCUUUAGUGCUGCAGCUAACGCAUUAAGCACUCCGCCUGGGGAGUACGGCCGCAAGGCUGAAAACUCAAAGGAAUUGACGGGGGCCCGCACAAGCGGUGGAGCAUGUGGUUUAAUUCGAAGCAACGCGAAGAACCUUACCAGGUCUUGACAUCCUCUGCCAACCCUAGAGAUAGGGUGUUCCCCCUUCGGGGGACAGAGUGACAGGUGGUGCAUGGUUGUCGUCAGCUCGUGUCGUGAGAUGUUGGGUUAAGUCCCGCAACGAGCGCAACCCUUGAUCUUAGUUGCCAGCAUUUAGUUGGGCGCUCUAAGGUGACUGCCGGUGACAAACCGGAGGAAGGUGGGGAUGACGUCAAAUCAUCAUGCCCCUUAUGACCUGGGCUACACACGUGCUACAAUGGAUGGUACAAAGAGCUGCGAACCCGGCGAGGGUAAGCCAAUCUCAUAAAGCCAUUCUCGGUUCGGA